GGGGUACUCGAGCGGCGAACGGGUGAGUAACACGUGAGUAACCUGCCCCUAGCUUCGGGAUAGCUCCGGGAAACCGGAAUUAAUACCGGAUACGACUACGGCCGACAUCGGCCAUGGUGGAAAGAUUUAUCGGCUAGGGAUGGGCUCGCGGCCUAUCAGCUUGUUGGUGGGGUAACAGCCUACCAAGGCGACGACGGGUAGCCGGCCUGAGAGGGCGACCGGCCACACUGGGACUGAGACACGGCCCAGACUCCUACGGGAGGCAGCAGUGGGGAAUAUUGCGCAAUGGGCGAAAGCCUGACGCAGCGACGCCGCGUGGGGGAUGAAGGCCUUCGGGUUGUAAACCCCUUUCGGCAGGGACGAAGCGAAAGUGACGGUACCUGCAGAAGAAGCGCCGGCUAACUACGUGCCAGCAGCCGCGGUAAC
rnacentral:rRNA from 1 species